rnacentral:lncRNA from 1 species
CGCCCUCUCCAGGAAGUGGAACUGUAGAAUAUGUUGGAUGGAAUCUUUUGGCUUUGCUUCUCUAGCUGUCUACACUUCUGUCAGCACAUUUUAUAUUGAGCUCUGUGGUUUACCUUGCAAACCAGUACAUGGUAUUUAUGGGUAUGAGCCAGUUGCAGCAAAAGCAGAGGGCAUGUACUUGAUCUUCAUUUACUGUGAGGUAUUCUCUCUUGUUUCAGGUGAUAGUCUGGACAGUAGAGUGCCCUGUGUGCAGAGCUUCCUGUUCAGCAUGGGUGGGAGAACCCAGCUUGGUAGAACUGGACACCCUGGCUUGCCCAUGAAUAACUCAACGAUGAGCACAGAUGUGCCUGUGUGCAUGGGAUUGCUGCUGAGAAUCCAGAAUCACCGGAACAGAACAGGAAGUUAAGAAAGUGAGAGUUUAUCAAUAUGUGAGUAUCAUCCUAGGAAACAAAAUUUAAUGCAUCUACCCUGUGAGAUCAUACUAAUUCUCUUCUAGAAUAGCUUUUGAAACAUGAAAAAUUUUCUGACUACAAAUAAAUUAAGUAGAAAUUUUAGAGUUUCCAGGAAGACGGUGGGGGAAAAAAAGCAUCA